CCCUUAGAUGUUCUGGGCCGCACGCGUGCUACACUGAGUGGAUCAGCGGGUCAGGUUGCGCGAAAGCGUUUCCUAAUCUUUAAAUCCGCUCGUGAUGGGGAUUGACGGUUGCAAUUUUCUGUCAUGACCGAGGAAUACCUUGUAAGCGCGGGUCAUCAUCCCGCGCUGAAUACGUCCCUGCCCUUUGUACACACCGCCCGUCGCACCUACCGAUUGGAUGGUCUGGUGAAGCCUCGGGAUUGUGGUUCUUGCCGCUUUAUUGUGGCGUGACCGCGAGAACUUGUCUAAACCUUAUCAUCUAGAGGAAGGUGAAGUCGUAACA
rnacentral:rRNA from 1 species